rnacentral:rRNA from 1 species
AUUGAACGCUGGCGGCAGGCUUAACACAUGCAAGUCGAGCGGAGAGAGGUAGCUUGCUACUGAUCUUAGCGGCGGACGGGUGAGUAAUGCUUAGGAAUCUGCCUAUUAGUGGGGGACAACAUUUCGAAAGGAAUGCUAAUACCGCAUACGUCCUACGAGAGAAAGCAGGGGAUCUGCGGACCUUGCGCUAUUAGAUGAGCCUAAGUCGGAUUAGCUAGUCGGUGGGGUAAAGGCCUACCAAGGCGACGAUCUGUAGUGGGUCUGAGAGGAUGAUCCGCCACACUGGGACUGAGACACGGCCCAGACUCCUACGGGAGGCAGCAGUGGGGAAUAUUGGACAAUGGGCGGAAGCCUGAUCCAGCCAUGCCGCGUGUGUGAAGAAGGCCUUAUGGUUGUAAAGCACUUUAAGCGAGGAGGAGGCUACUUUAGUUAAUACCUAGAGAUAGUGGACGUUACUCGCAGAAUAAGCACCGGCUAACUCUGUGCCAGCCGCCGCAGUAACAC